GUCAGGAUGGCCGAGCAGUCUAAGGCGCUACAUUCAGGUCGCAGUCUCCCCUGGAGGCAUGGGUUCAAAUCCCACUCCUGACA
rfam:Tupaia chinensis contig94183, whole genome shotgun sequence.